rnacentral:misc_RNA from 1 species
ACGAAGCAUUUCCGGGCACUACUAAGAAGCCAUUAUUGAGUUUGGCAGAAAAACAAUAUUUGUACACUUCCUGUAUCUUCUUGAAAAAGAUGAUGAGAUGAAAUGAUUAGUUGAUACGUAAACAUGGUCUUAUUUUGGAUAUCGUCAUCGGGAUAAAUGUUGGAAUCAGGGAGCCGGAAAGAAAGUGAAAAAUGAACAAGAUAGCUAACGUAGUGUAUUCGGGAUGGAUGGUCAAAUCGCCCCCAGAGAAGAAAUUCCGUCUGACAGGGGCCUGGAAAAUCUUUAGAGCUGUAAGCGUUUUUGUAUUCACUUGACAUUGAUGUCAUUUUGCUAGUUUUUGUUUUUAAGUUGCUUUGUUUAACCUCACAGAUUCAAAAAACCUUGUUUCUCUUCCCAAAACUUUUUACUUUUUAUUUCUGAGGCUCAUCAUUCUCAUGAAAUGUGUAAAAUAUGUAUAUUAAUUAGAAGAGCAAAUAACUUGUUUCUUGAUAAAUAAAUUAAUAUGAUAAGAGUAGUUAUACGAUCUUUAAUUAUAUGGAUUAAUUUAAGAUAACUGACUUGUUGGUUUUGUCAGGUAUAUGUCAAAUU